rnacentral:lncRNA from 1 species
AAUACGAACUAGUUGAUGGUUAUAAAUAGAAAAGGUUAAAUUAUAUAAAACUUUCUGUCAAAAUCCAAUUUUUCACUUUCCCCCCGUCAAUUAAAAAACAUACAUUUUGCCCCCUUGUAAAAUAAAAAAUAUUCACAGGGGGGUGUUUGGGAAUAACUUCGGAGUUAAUGGGUUAUUCCACCCCUUAACCCCGAACCAAAUGGGUAUGCAGCAGUCACGUUGACUACGUAACGUUCUUAAUUAAUCAAAUUACUCUCCUAAAAUUCACCCAUUUCAUUAUAUUUUUUUAAAAAAAAUUUAUUAUAUUUUCCUCUCAAAAAAUAAAUGUAAUUAACUAAUUAUAAAUGAUGUGGUAUAGCUGCUACAUAGUAAACCUCCUCAUUCUCUU